UAUCUGACGAACUAGGAAACAAAGCUGAAGAAAAACCAGAUGAAAGUGCAGAUUCAGUUUUUAAUGCAGUGGUAUUCUUUGCCAAAUGUUCGAAAGUCAAUCUGAGUUCAUUUGUAAAUGAUGCGAUGGAUCGAAGUUUUGAUGAUGCGGAGAUGGCUGAAAGUACUAUCUCAGGAAAGGUGCCCAAUUUCUACAAAAAACACCCUGAGCUGGCACAGCCACGAAAACAAUUGGAUCCCAUAAAAAUCGAAAGAAUCAAAAACUACGCCGAGAAACAUUUUCCCAAUGAAAUGAAGCUGUUGAAUAAUUGCAUCAGAAACAAGUGUGGCAACGCGAAAAAAAAAGUUCAACGAAUGAAUAAUCAGUCGUCAUCGUUGCAGUAACCGAAGACUCACCGAGCUGAAAUGGAGCAAUAAUACUAAUAAAUAUGACUUUUUGAUUUA